CGGCAGGCCUAACACAUGCAAGUCGAGGGGUAACAGGGAGUGCUUGCACUCUGCUGACGACCGGCGCACGGGUGCGUAACGCGUAUACAAUCUGCCUUAUACUGGGGUAUAGCCUUUAGAAAUGAAGAUUAAUCCCCCAUAGUCUCUUAUUAUGGCAUCAUAAAAAGAGUAAAGGUUACGGUAUAAGAUGAGUAUGCGUUCUAUUAGUUUGUUGGUGAGGUAACGGCUCACCAAGACUACGAUAGAUAGGGGCCCUGAGAGGGGGAUCCCCCACACUGGUACUGAGACACGGACCAGACUCCUACGGGAGGCAGCAGUGAGGAAUAUUGGACAAUGGAGGCAACUCUGAUCCAGCCAUGCCGCGUGCAGGAAGACUGCCCUAUGGGUUGUAAACUGCUUUUAUAUAGGAAGAAACCUUGGUACGUGUACCAAGCUGACGGUACUAUAAGAAUAAGGAUCGGCUAA
rnacentral:rRNA from 1 species